rnacentral:rRNA from 1 species
UACGGGGGGGGCAAGCGUUGUUCGGAAUUACUGGGCGUAAAGGGCUCGUAGGCGGCCAACUAAGUCAUACGUGAAAUCCCUCGGCUUAACCGGGGAACUGCGUCUGAUACUGGAUGGCUUGAGUUCGGGAGAGGGAUGCGGAAUUCCAGGUGUAGCGGUGAAAUGCGUAGAUAUCUGGAGGAACACCUGUGGCGAAAGCGGCUCACUGGACCACAACUGACGCUGAGGCGCGAAAGCUAGGGGAGCAAACAGG